rnacentral:rRNA from 1 species
AUUGAACGCUGGCGGCAGGCCUAACACAUGCAAGUCGAACGGUAACAGGAAGAAGCUUGCUUCUUUGCUGACGAGUGGCGGACGGGUGAGUAAUGUCUGGGAAACUGCCUGAUGGAGGGGGAUAACUACUGGAAACGGUAGCUAAUACCGCAUAACGUCGCAAGACCAAAGAGGGGGACCUUCGGGCCUCUUGCCAUCGGAUGUGCCCAGAUGGGAUUAGCUAGUAGGUGGGGUAACGGCUCACCUAGGCGACGAUCCCUAGCUGGUCUGAGAGGAUGACCAGCCACACUGGAACUGAGACACGGUCCAGACUCCUACGGGAGGCAGCAGUGGGGAAUAUUGCACAAUGGGCGCAAGCCUGAUGCAGCCAUGCCGCGUGUAUGAAGAAGGCCUUCGGGUUGUAAAGUACUUUCAGCGGGGAGGAAGGGAGUAAAGUUAAUACCUUGACUCAUUGACGUUACCCGCAGAAGAGGCACCGGCUAACUCCGUG